rnacentral:lncRNA from 1 species
AAAAUUUUCAAGGACCUUCUCCUAUAAAUUCAUCCAUUUCUUACGCCAAAAUCAAAACACAAACAAAGUUUAACCAUGGGGAAGGUGAUUAGCAUAACCUUGUGCACUGUGUUCCUGGCAUUUCUAAUAGCUGGAGUGAGUUCCCAAAGUGCGUCUAAUGUGAGAGCAACCUACCAUUACUACAAUCCUGCACAAAAUGGAUGGGAUUUGAAUGCUGUAAGUGCUUUCUGUUCUACUUGGGAUGCUGGCAAGCCUCUCGCAUGGCGCCAGAAGUAUGGAUGGACUGCCUUCUGUGGACCUGUCGGACCUCGAGGACAAGCUGCUUGUGGCAAAUGCUUAAGGGUAAGAGUUCUUUAAAACAUAAUAAACUAAUUUAGGGUUAGUUCUUGGUCAGAAAAGGAAAAUAUAUAGUUGAUAAUAAAGGCUUGCUCUUAUUUAUUUACUUGAGAUGAAUUCUUUGCUAUGUUCAGGUGACUAACACAAGAACAGGAGCUCAAGUGACAGCAAGAAUAGUUGAUCAGUGUAGCAAUGGAGGGUUGGACUUAGACUAUGAAGGCGUUUUCCGGCCGUUAGACACAGACGGAAAUGGGUAUAAUCAAGGCCACCUUAUAGUCAACUACAACUUUGUAGAUUGUGGGGAUUACACCAAUUAAUUUAUUAAUUGGUUCCAAUAAAUGUAGUUCCUGUAUUAGCAGAAAAUAAAUGUUUCCUGUAUAAUAAGAAAGCUCGCUGCUUGUAAUCUCACGUUCUUGAGUGAAAAAUAAAAAUAUGAAUAUACAGAGCUCAUUCAUUUGACUCUGUUAAGGAAACAGUUGCACGUUUCUAAGUUAACUAAAGCAAAUUCAGUUUGAAGGAAGAUUUCUUGUGUUUGAAUGAAGAGAUAAUCUUUAAUUAAUUCUUUCCUUUCAAUACAAUAAUUUUUUCUUCACUUAAUUAGAUCGAAACUCCAUUUAUGGACCAAAUCAAUGAAAGUAAAGAUUUUAAUGUAAAAGUUGCAUCGGAAAAAAGAACAUAUUCUUUUGUGAUUUUAAAAAAUUUUUCUUUAAUAAUCUUAAUAAAUAUUUUAAAAUUCAUACUUCUAAUCUCCUUAUGUUCUAUAACUCUUGUCCUUUCAUUAUUAAAUAAAUAAUUAUAGUUUCGAUUAAUAUCAAUAAUAAUUUAAUAUUUUACAAGGAUAAGUUAAAAAAAAUAAUAAUUAAAGUUUAAUUAUAUAAAUUAAGUUUUAUUAACCUGUAUAUUAGUCAGACUAAGAUAAUUUAUGAAGGGAGGGAGUACUUCAAAAAAUUAAGUAUUAAAAUGUCAAAAAUUGAGUAAUUAUUAGUCUAUGAAGUUUGGCCUUACCCUCUUUAUUGUUGAAAUUUUUAACGACGCAUCGUGUCGUUUUGAACAACGACCUUACGCAACUCUCAGCCAUCUUCAUGUAGCCGCCUCUCAAUCAAAUCUUAUCUUAGAAAAUGUCCCAUCUUCUUUAGCACCACAAAUCCCAAGUGAACUUAGCUUAUUGUCAUCAUCAUUUACAUAUUCUAAAAAUAUAAAAAUCUGAAAAUAAUAUCAUAAGAAAAGGGAAGAGUUAAACUGCUAUCUAUUACUAUUAUUUAGAGAUAGUAUUCUUUAGAGAAAUAACGAUAUACAUCGAGUUUUUUCUUUGGACUCUAAGAAAAAAAUUAAUGGAGUCUUGAAAUUAUAAAAACGACACGCAUUUAAAAAUAAAAGAAAAAAAAGAAAAAUGAUAUUUAUUUUGAAAUGGAGGGUGUAGUAGAUUAUUUAUUGAAUUUAAUAAAGGGUUUUUAAUUACAGUACCUAAUCCAGUUGGAAAAAUUUAGAAAACUCCAUUAAAAGCUCAACAGUAUCUACAGCUGGAGAAGUUGGGCAAAAAUGAAAUCUGUCAAUCGUAGCUAUCCUCUUUAUUGGCAGGAAAGGAAAGGGAUGCUUAACAAACUGGGUUACGUCGUGGGUGGAAAACCCUGCUGAAAUAAUUGACUAAUUAGCCACUUAAAUCUAAUUAAGACCAACUUAAUUAAACCAUCAAGGAAAAUAUGGGAGUCGUGUCAAAGUAAGAGAGUCAAAUUCUAUUCCAAGGAAGAAAAUCAAUACGUAAAACAAAAACCAAAAUCACAAAUACUAAAUUUUCUUUUAUGGGCUGUAACUCAGAAAUUUCUACAUACAUCAUGCAAUAUAUAUUUAUAUGCCAGAUUUUAGUUUAUUUGUAAAGAAAUUCCUUUUUCUUUUUUUUUUUUCGUUGGAUUUGAAAGUUCAACGUAUUGGAUUUGUCAAUAGCAUAGCAAAUCAAGAGUUGUAGAAGCAGAAUUAAGUUAACAUUGUCAACAUUGUACUGGAAUAUUCACAAUUAAAUUCCAAAUUUCCAAUCUACUCUCUCUAAAAACUUCUCCUAUAAAUUCAACCAUUCUUGCACCAAAAUCAAACACACACAAAGUUAAACCAUGGGGAGGGUAAUUCUUAUCAGAAACUUGUGCAUUGUGGUCCUGGCAUUUCUUACAGCUGAAGUGAAUUCCCAGAGUGCUUCUAAUGUGAGAGCAACCUACCAUUACUACAAUCCUGCACAAAAUGGGUGGGACUUGAAUGCUGUGAGCGCUUAUUGUGCUCCUGGGGAUCCCGACAAGCCUCUCGCAUGGCGCCAGAAGUAUGGAUGGACCGCCUUCUGCGGACCAGUGGGACCUCAAGGACAAGCUGCCUGCGGCAAAUGCUUAAGGGUAAUAGAUUUAGAAAACAUAUUCAGAAAAUCACACAUUUUACAUAUAUAUAUAUAUAUAUAUAUAUAUAUAUAAGCUUUCUUGAAGAGUAUAUAGUUGAUAAUGAAAGACUUGCCAUCAGUUUGACUAUUUACUUUACUGAAAUUAAUCCUUUGUUGCAUUCAGGUGACUAAUACAGGAACAGGAGAUCAACAGACGGUGAG